rnacentral:rRNA from 1 species
GACGUAGGGCGCAAGCGUUGUCCGGAUUUAUUGGGCGUAAAGAGCUCGUAGGCGGCUUGUUGCGUCGUCCGUGAAAACCCGUGGCUCAACUGCGGGCUUGCGGACGAUACGGGCAGGCUGGAGUUCGGUAGGGGAGACUGGAAUUCCUGGUGUAGCGGUGAAAUGCGCAGAUAUCAGGAGGAACACCGGUGGCGAAGGCGGGUCUCUGGGCCGAUACUGACGCUGAGGAGCGAAAGCGUGGGAAGCGAACAGG